rnacentral:rRNA from 1 species
UACAGAGGGGGCAAGCGUUGUUCGGAAUUACUGGGCGUAAAGGGCGCGUAGGCGGCCUUCUAAGUCGAACGUGAAAUCCCCGGGCUCAACCCGGGAACUGCGUCCGAUACUGGAAGGCUUGAAUCCGGGAGAGGGAUGCGGAAUUCCAGGUGUAGCGGUGAAAUGCGUAGAUAUCUGGAGGAACACCGGUGGCGAAGGCGGCAUCCUGGACCGGCAUUGACGCUGAGGCGCGAAAGCCAGGGGAGCAAAGCGGGAUUAAGAUGACCCCAGA